rnacentral:rRNA from 1 species
ACGCACGCUGGCGGCGUGCUUCACACAUGCAAGUCGAACGGAAAGGCCCUGCUUUUGUGGGGUGCUCGAGUGGCGAACGGGUGAGUAACACGUGAGUAACCUGCCCUUGACUUUGGGAUAACUUCAGGAAACUGGGCUAAUACCGGAUAGGAGCUCCUGCUGCAUGGUGGGGGUUGGAAAGUUUCGGCGGUUGGGGAUGGACUCGCGGCUUAUCAGCUUGUUGGUGGGGUAGUGGCUUACCAAGGCUUUGACGGGUAGCCGGCCUGAGAGGGUGACCGGCCACAUUGGGACUGAGAUACGGCCCAGACUCCUACGGGAGGCAGCAGUGGGGAAUAUUGCACAAUGGGCGGAAGCCUGAUGCAGCAACGCCGCGUGCGGGAUGACGGCCUUCGGGUUGUAAACCGCUUUCGCCUGUGACGAAGCGUGAGUGACGGUAAUGGGUAAAGAAGCACCGGCUAACUACGUG